AAUUUUACUCAACCUAAGAGUCCAAGACAAGCUCAAUCAUCUCAUUUGAAAAAUUCAAAUGUUUCCGUUCAGAAUAACGACCAGACUGAAUUGAUUUAAACUGGCAAAAUGCAUUUGGCGCUUUAUUUUUUGCUCUGUUUUGUGUUCUCUGCAGUUACUGAUGCAUCGACCCAACUUGAUCUCUCCCUCUUUCGGGAAGAGUGUCCAUGUUUGAAAGCAUACGACGUGGAGCCUGUGUUUGCGUACUACGCAUAUGAUAUAGACUCAUGCGUUGUGUAUUGUAUAGGAGUUCAAGCUUGCGAGGCUGUCAACUAUUGCAGUGGGACGAAAUUGUGCAAAGGAUAUAGUAAAUUUGGCGUGGGUUAUGAGCCCGAGGCAAUCAACAACCUGGACUGUGCCGGCUUCCCUUCCGUAUCUUCCACUUCUUCCGAGAAGUGGUACUGGGUCAAAGAGGUCAUUGACGGGGAAACCACUGACUGCCAGAUAGAACACGACAGACUGGGCCAAACACCUUCAUCGAAUGACUACACAAUUCAAGUACGAGGGUACCCGCUGCAAGUAUUUUGCGAAUGGGGCCAAAAUGGAGAACCCACCAAAACUUAUAUGAAUUUCGCAUCUGCAUAUACCACAAUUUCUCACUGGGGUGGCAGCAGCUACGGAAAUUUUGGCCCGACCGGGUAUUCAAGAAGGACUUUUCAAAAAGCGAAGCUGUUA